GAUCCUGAAGAGAUGAACAUGUUGAUAUUUGUUGCUGCUAUUCUUGAUCCGAGGAACAAGCAAUCUGAACAUUUGAAGGUACCUGUUUUAUUGACAUAUGGUGAGACUAGAGGUGAACAAGUAUUGAAGAAGGCAAAUGAGACAUUGCACUCUCUUUUUGAAGAAUACAAGUGUAUGUAUGAGCAAGUUGGAAGCCAAGGUGAUGGCUCAGAAACACAACCUAGUUGUAGUCGCAGAUCAAAGGUUAAUUACUUCUUUUAUUUAUGGCAAGAAAAGGAAAGAAAAGCUGCAGCUGCUGCAGCUGCUGCUGAUGGCAGAACUGAAUUAGAGAGGUAUAUUUCUGAAGAGGUUGUAUGUGACGAUGAUGAUUUUGACAUUCUCCUUUGGUGGAAAUAUAGAAGACACCUGUUUCCAAUACUUUCGCGCAUGGCUCGUGAUAUAUUGGCCAUCCACAUGUCAACAGUUUCUUGUGAAUCAGCUUUUAGUACGGGCGGUUGUGUUCUUGACGAUUUUAGAAGCUCGUUGCCUCCUUUGGUGGUGCAAAGUUUGAUAUGUGCACAAGAUUGCGUUCGUCAACCGUCGAAUGGCGCGAAGAGUUGAGUGAAUUAAAGGCAUCGUACUACAAUGCAACUGAUGUUUUGGAACCAGUUCCAACUUCCAACAGCAACCAUCUGCUGACUCAGAGUGGCACCGAUGCUUGAAGAAUGAUCGAAUGGCGCCAUGAAUAUGUGUUGGAACUUUUGUAAUUAUGGUACACGAUAGCUCAGAAUUUGGAUGUGCUAUAUAAUCCUCUAGCGUUGGAAGCUGGACUUUUCUUGAACUUAGUUGAAAGUUUGACUCUAAAUCUGUUAUACAUAAACUGGGGCAUCAUAUAUUUUAGAACUUCAACUUUGGAAAUGAAACUGCUU